AACUGCGGCUUUGCUUGCAGACUACAUAAGACAAUAAAAGCAGCAACGGGUUAUGACUUUCAUAUUUGAGAACAAUUUGUUAAGAAGUCAGUAUCUUCGUUUACUUCUCACUAAAUCAAAAUAUCAAACAGAGAACAAACCAAAACUAACUCAAGAGCAUCCCCUACUCUUCCAAACAUCAAUUCAACUAAAUACCAGCGUCCAUGUGAAUCUGUUUAAUUUUCUACUGAAUACUCAUCAAAGACCAACUAACAUGUUAAUACCCAUUGGGAACUAUCUGAAGUGUCUCUAAUCUUGCCUAUGAAGACUAAUCACAAUGAUUGUACGAGUUAAGAAACAAAGAUUGUCAGUCUCAGAAGUAUAGCAUCUAUAGAAUUUAACCUGCCUAUGCUCGAGAGAAUGCUGCACGAAUGGCGUUUUAACACUAGUCUCUUAUACGGUGUAUCAAUACAAGUGCUACAGAAAUGUUAACAAGAAUCACAUUCUUUUGUAAAAUGCCAAACCUUGAGCUCAGGGGAAGCAGGGUG